GGGGAUGAACUGGUAUCGACUCAGUUAGAGGAGCCUAAGCCGCGUAUCGUGGAAGUCUUGUUGGCCACGUAAAAAAGCAAGGCAAACAUUGAAUGCUAAAAACACCAAUGAAGUCAGUGUGCUCAACAUCCUCGCUGCCGCUCAGGUCAAGGCGCUCGUCGCCUCCCUCAACGGUGAAGUGGAAGCUGUAGCCUAAGCUGUCGGGCCCAAGGGCCUGACACCGGUGCUGCUAUGACGCCUGCUAGCAGCAAGCACCGUAAUUAGCAGGUAGCCUAUGAUGACGAAUUGUUGCUCAUUGUUGGUUGUAAGUCGGAACAACAAUAAAGCUGUUGGUGUUGGUUGUGUUGCACCGACCCAGCUUCUAUAAGCAUCACUACAUACGUAGACGCCAGUCAAAUCACGCUGAGGACCCGGGUUCGACUCCCGGCAUCUCCACCA
rnacentral:tmRNA from 1 species